rnacentral:rRNA from 1 species
UGGGGAAUAUUGCACAAUGGGCGCAAGCCUGAUGCAGCGACGCCGCGUGGGGGAUGACGGCCUUCGGUUUGUAAACUCCUUUCGCUAGGGACGAAGCUUUUUGUGACGGUACCUAGAUAAGAAGCACCGGCUAACUACGUGCCAGCAGCCGCGGUAAUACGUAGGGUGCGAGCGUUGUCCGGAAUUACUGGGCGUAAAGGGCUCGUAGGUGGUUUGUCGCGUCGUCUGUGAAAUUCCGGGGCUUAACUCCGGGCGUGCAGGCGAUGCGGGCAUAACUUGAGUACUGUAGGGGUAACUGGAGUUCCUGGUGUAGCGGUGAAAUGCGCAGAUAUCAGGAGGAACACCGAUGGCGAAGGCAGGUUACUGGGCAGUUACUGACGCUGAGGAGCGAAAGCAUGGGUAGCGAACAGG